rfam:Salinivibrio sp. KP-1 scf7180000001623, whole genome shotgun sequence.
GGAGAGAUGGCUGAGUGGUUGAAAGCACCGGUCUUGAAAACCGGCAAGGGUUAAUAGCCCUUCUAGGGUUCAAAUCCCUAUCUCUCCG